rnacentral:rRNA from 1 species
UACGUAGGGUGCGAGCGUUGCCCGGAUUUAUUGGGCGUAAAGGGCGCGUAGGCGGCUCUGCACGUCCGUUGUGAAAUCGCCCGGCUCAACUGGGCGGGGUCAGCGGAUACGGCGGAGCUUGAGCAAGCUAGAGGGCAAUGGAAUUCCCGGUGUAGUGGUGGAAUGCGCAGAUAUCAGGAAGAACACCCGUGGCUAAGGCGGCUCUCUAGUACGGUACUGACGCUGAGACGCGAAAGCGUGGGGAGCGAACAGG